rnacentral:tRNA from 1 species
UUAAUUGAAACCAAAAAGAGGUAAAUUAUUGUUAAUAAUUUUAAUGAUUAAAAAUCCAAUUAAA